rnacentral:rRNA from 1 species
CGGGNUACCCNGGUANCNCCCUAAGNUGGAAANUCNGAANCGGGNUAUNCNGNUACAUUUNACCCNUGUUNGAANUNAANGCGNUUNGGCUUCNUUAUGGAUGACCCGCGUCCCNUAGCUAGUNGUGAGGUAACNGCUCNCCAAGGCAACGAUGCGUAGCCGACCUGAGAGGGUGAUCGNCCACACUGGGACUGAGACACGGCCCAGACUCNUACGGGAGGCAGCAGUAGGGAAUCUUCCGCAAUGGACGAAAGUCUGACGGAGCAACGCCGCGUGAGUGAUGAAGGCUUUCGGGUCGUAAAACUCUGUUGUUAGGGAAGAACAAGUGCUAGUUGAAUAAGCUGGCACCUUGACGGUACCUAACCAGAAAGCCACGGCUAACUACGUGCCAGCAGCCGCGGUAAUACGUAGGUGGCAAGCGUUAUCCGGAAUUAUUGGGCGUAAAGCGCGCGCAGGUGGUUUCUUAAGUCUGAUGUGAAAGCCCACGGCUCAACCGUGGAGGGUCAUUGGAAACUGGGAGACUUGAGUGCAGAAGAGGAAAGUGGAAUUCCAUGUGUAGCGGUGAAAUGCGUAGAGAUAUGGAGGAACACCAGUGGCGAAGGCGACUUUCUGGUCUGUAACUGACACUGAGGCGCGAAAGCGUGGGGAGCAAACAGGAUUAGAUACCCUGGUAGUCCACGCCGUAAACGAUGAGUC